rnacentral:miRNA from 1 species
GGGUGACCUAAAGUCCUGGUUUGCCUGGGACUGAGGGGCUUCUCGGGACGCAGGACAUUUCAGUGGCAAG